CCUACGGGAGGCAGCAGUGGGGGAUAUUGCACAAUGGGGGCAACCCUGAUGCAGCGACGCCGCGUGAGUGAAGAAGGAUUUCGGUGUGUAAAGCUCUGUCAGCAGGGAAGAAAAUGACGGUACCUGAUUAAGAAGCCCCGGCUAACUACGUGCCAGCAGCCGCGGUAAUACGUAGGGGGCAAGCGUUAUCCGGAUUUACUGGGUGUAAAGGGGGCGUAGACGGCAGCACAAGUCUGGAGUGAAAUGCCGGGGCUUAACCCCGGGACUGCUUGGGAAACUGUGUAGCUAGAGUGCAGGAGAGGGAAGUGGAAUUCCUAGUGUAGCGGUGAAAUGCGUAGAUAUUAGGAGGAACACCAGUGGCGAAGGCGGCUUACUGGACUGUAACUGACGUUGAGGCGCGAAAGCGUGGGGAGCAAACAGGAUUAGAUACCCUUGUAGUC
rnacentral:rRNA from 1 species